UACGGAGAGAAAAAUAUAUUUAUGUUUUCAUUCAAGUAUAUAAUUUUCAUUAUAUCACAUCCUGUAUAUUUAAUAAUCUUAGUUUUAAUUAUAACCUAUUUGACUGAAAGAAAAAAAAUUCGAGAAGUUAAAGUUAUUUUAUUUUAACUUUUAUUUAUUUAUUUAUUUGUCCGAAAUCAAUCAAGGGGAAAUGGUUAUUGAUGGAGCCUAUAACUAUGAUUACAUCGGUAAAACUGGGUUUUAUUUUCCUCAGCCUAUUGACGCUUUGCCCGGUGAGCGAAAGAUACUAUGACUCAAAAUGAGGUUUUGGUUAUUCAAAAAACGAAGAUCAAAUUUAUUACUGAUUUGGGGAGAAAUGUAGGAGAGUGCUGCUACAUUGGCUAAUUUAGGGAUAACAUACAAGGGAAUGCUGCUAAAGGGAAUGCGGUUUGGGUUAAGGAAGGUAUAGAUCAAUCGAUGUAGCAGCACUCUCCUACAUUUCUCCACAAAUCAGUAAUAUAUCUGGUCUUCGUUUUUUUUAAAAAUCAAAACCUCAUUUUGAGACAGUAUCUUUCGCUUACCCGCCAGCUAAGGCCCUUAACUGGAUCGCAUGUGUUUUGCCAGACCUGGUUCGCCGGACCUGGCUCGCCAGCUCUGGCCCAUUAAUAUACUACUAAUUGGGUGGUUGUUUUUAUGUCAUCGUUAGUUGUUACGUUUUGUCAGUUUAUUAGUGUUUGUAACUGUAACUUUGUAUGCAAGAACGAUUGUUGUAUGGAAAAUUAUACCAAUUUAUUUAAAUUAUUUUAAUUACUAUAUCUUGUUUAUCUUUAAACAUUUUACUUCCAAAUCUAUACUUUUUACAUUUUUUUUCUUUUUCUUUGUUUUUUUAUUGAAAAUUCAUUUUUUUUUUACCAUUGAUUUGAAAUACAGUGCUUUUAUAUCUUAAAACACUUUGCUUAAAUGGAAUUUCAAAAUAGAUGGACUGCAACUGUUUAGCUAGAAAAUGGUAAUGGUAAGAAGCAAAAAGUGGAUGGCGUGGUGCCAGUAAGAUGGUAUCGAUAUGAUCUAGUCUCAAUUAAGUUAGUUGCAGUGCUAUUGAAAGGAACGAUAGAAAAAAAGAAGCAUUCAAGUUGUUUGCAAAACUUUUGGUUUUGAUACAAAAGACCAACUGAAAAUGAUACUAAAAAGACUGUUUACCGUUUUACUCCUGUCCCAAUCUAACCUAGUGGGUUCAAAAAGAAAGGACCGCGCUGGAAACAUGAGGGGAUUAAAAGGAUCAGCCUUUUUUGAAUUAUUAGUUGGUAAGUCUAAUAUGUUUCACUCAGCUAAUCAAGUUUCAUUUGUCUUUUUGUAUUACAUUCAAGCGAGAGACUGUUUUUUAAGUUUAAAAAGUCUUAACCAGCUCGUAUGAAAGGAUUUCUCGACGUGAAAUAGUUAAUUUUAUUCAACAACGCCGAGAAACUAAGCUCGCUCAAGAAACAGAAAAGAAAAAGA